GUGACCCCAUACGCAUGCUCAGUGAAGUUACAGUAUCCAUGCAGUGUUGAGCAAGUGAAAAUUGGCCCCAAAAACUAGGAAAGAGGAGGUUUUUUAGUCAUACAUCUCCAACAAUAAACACUAUAAUACACUAUGGCUCUUAAAAGGAUAUCUAAGGAACUGACUGACCUCGGCAAAGACCCCCCUGCUCAAUGCUCAGCUGGACCAGUAGGAGAUGAUUUUUUCCACUGGCAAGCAACAAUAAUGGGUCCGCCUGACAGUCCUUAUCAAGGGGGUGUGUUUUUCCUAACCAUACACUUUCCAACAGAUUACCCUUUCAAACCCCCAAAGGUGGCGUUCACAACGAAAAUCUAUCAUCCGAACAUCAACAGCAAUGGCAGUAUCUGUUUGGAUAUACUCAGGUCACAGUGGUCGCCAGCUCUCACUAUCUCAAAAGUGCGUAAUUGGAUAUUUUCUAUGCGUAUUUUACACGGAUAUACAGCUUAUCUGGGCCUCUGAAUGUCUGCAGCCUGACAUAUCCUUCUGAAAUGAAGCUGGCAUGUGAUAUUGAACCCAACUUGCUCCUGAUCUGCUUUUAUCAAUCACUUCACUUCUGACCGAUCCGAACCCAGAUGAUCCACUAGUUCCUGAAAUAGCUCGCUUGUACAAAACAGACAA
rnacentral:misc_RNA from 1 species